CUUAUACUCCCUCAGUCCGGAAAUACUUGUCGAACAAAUGGAUAAAAAUGAGUAUAUCUAGAACUAAAAUACGUCUAGAUACAUCUAUUUCUCCGACAAGUAUUUUUGGACGGAGGGAGUACAUU
rfam:Triticum aestivum genome assembly, contig: Triticum_aestivum_CS42_TGACv1_scaffold_407393_5BL